CACGUAGGGGGCAAGCGUUGUCCGGAUUUAUUGGGCGUAAAGAGCUCGUAGGCGGUUCGGUAAGUCGGGUGUGAAACCUCCAGGCUCAACCUGGAGACGCCACCCGAUACUGCUGUGACUAGAGGCAGGUAGGGGAGAACGGAAUUCCCGGUGUAGCGGUGAAAUGCGCAGAUAUCGGGAGGAACACCGGUGGCGAAGGCGGUUCUCUGGGCCUGUACUGACGCUGAGGAGCGAAAGCGUGGGGAGCGAACAGG
rnacentral:rRNA from 1 species